rfam:Dipodomys ordii contig_5674, whole genome shotgun sequence.
GAGAAGGUGGCUCAGUGGUAGAGCGAUUGUUUUGCAUACAUGAGGCCCUGGGUUCGAUUCCUCAGCAUCA